GAGUUUGAUCAUGGCUCAGAUUGAACGCUGGCGGCAUGCCUUACACAUGCAAGUCGAACGGCAGCACGGGAGCUUGCUCCUGGGUGGCGAGUGGCGAACGGGUGAGUAAUGCAUCGGAACGUAUCCUGGAGUGGGGGAUAACGUAGCGAAAGUUACGCUAAUACCGCAUAUUCUGUGAGCAGGAAAGCGGGGGACCUUCGGGGCCUCGCGCUCUUGGAGCGGCCGAUGUCGGAUUAGCUAGUUGGUGAGGUAAAGGCUCACCAAGGCGACGAUCCGUAGCAGGUCUGAGAGGAUGAUCUGCCACACUGGAACUGAGACAGGUCCAGACUCCUACGGGAGGCAGCAGUGGGGAAUUUUGGACAAUGGGGGCAACCCUGAUCCAGCCAUGCCGCGUGAGUG
rnacentral:rRNA from 1 species